GGAAGGGUGGCAGAGUGGUCGAAUGCGCCGGAUUCGAAAUCCGGUGUACGGUUUUACCGUACCGUGGGUUCGAAUCCCACCCCUUCCGCCA
rnacentral:tRNA from 2 species